GACGGUUUAGCUCUGUCACAAUAUAGAUUCCAAUAAAGAUUGCUUAAGCAGGUUUGGCUUGUGACACUGGUCAAGUUUGCAAUAUAGAUUGCCUGAGCAAGCUUUGGCUUUAGAUUCCAAUAAAGAUUGCUUAAGCAGGUUUGGCUUGUGACACUGGUCAAGUAAAGAAUAAGAGGAGCCACGUAGGCUCAAAAGACAGGGAAAUGGGUAAGGAACGUGCUUAACGUGAUUAUCCUCCUAAGGUGUACCUAUAGGUUGGCAAUUGGUGAUUGGUGGAAGGAAGGUGUACCUAUAGGUUGGCAAUUGGUGAUUGGUGGAAGGGAGGUGUACCUAUAGGUUGGCAAUUGGUGAUUGGUGGAGAAAUGUGUACCUACAGUAUAAGAAUGCCUGCCAAAUGCCAUGUAUUUACAGCCAGUGUAUUUUCAGGAGCUAUCCAACUGGUUGUCUCUGUGUACAAAAUGUCUUUGUACACAGAUUUCAAUAAACUCUUUUUCUCCAAAGAAGAUUUUGCUUUCCUGGUACUUUUGUUCCCUCCAAGGUCCGGGGAUGGCGUGGCUGAUGGAUCCCUAGGUAAAUAAGGCUUCAUUUCUUUGGGGGCUCGUCCGGGAUAAGCCCCCUCCCCAAAUAUGGACCGGAGGGCCAGGCUCAACCAAGGUGAACAGCUCAGCAGCGUUUGCAGGCUCCCGUGCGCACCCCGCCUGUUUCGUGGGGGGAGCCAGCCACACUGUCCUGCAGUGGAGACAUCUUGUUGAGGGAGAAAAACAAAGAGGACGGCGCCGAGGGGAAGGGAAUCCGCAGCGGAAAAGGUGGACCCAGGCUCGCACCCCAUGUGUGUUAACUGAACCGUUCCAUCAGUUCGAGCCAGGUGAUGAAGUGUGGGUGAAAGACUGGCAGCGAGCCCCCCUACAGCCUUGCUGGAAGGGACCAUACACUGUGCUACUUUCUACACCUACUGCUGUGAAGGUUGCUGG